GCUGUCUGCUUAAUGUAUAGCUCUAGUUUAAUUUUGUGUUUCCUUGCUACCAGCAAUAAAGCUGAGAGUUUUUGAGUUUAUCUUUGCCUCCUGGAAUCUGCAUAUUGGGUCCUCCAUUCCUGCCUGCCACACACAGUACAUGACACUUCAAGAGAUGCAGCCAUUUGCCUUUUACUUAGACUACUAACAUCGCAGCUUGUCAUCCAAAACAUCAAUUUUAAGGUCACCGUGUUUGUGUCUUAUAGAGUGGUGCUGCCUCGCUGUAUUUCAAAAAGCGAUGUUGUAACAGGUGGUUGCCUGGCUGUGCAGGGCGAUGCGGUCCUUCCUGCCCUUUUACUCACCCUUCAGGAGGGGUGCCUGCCAACCAAUCAGCUGCCCAGCAGGAUAAACAAGUUGGACCUCGUCCUUGUAAAUGGAGGAGGCAGAGGAGACGCAGACUGCAACAUAGUGUCAGGUUGCAUUUGAAGGUUGAUAUGUUGAUGUGACAGCUGCUGCAGCACACAGCCCACUCCUUAGCUAUUCUUAAUUAUAAGCAGAGGUGUUCACAUCUCACUUUCAAGCGCUGGUAAUUGGGACUAUGAAACUCAGUUUUAUAGUGUGAUUUAGCUAUAUUUACAAAGGGAUGAUUGGCUCACCAACAGACAAAGGUAGCAAGGAGGUCAGACUAUCACUUCUGUCAGAAAAAUCUGCAGAAAUCUGUUCUCAGGAAUAAGGAAAAGAAUACCUGCCCAUCCCUUCACUUUUGUGUUGUCAGUAACAUCUAACUCAAUAAAUAAUUUCCACUCAUCAUGUAAAUUGUCAGCCACUCAGUGAAAAUCUUUUU